rnacentral:rRNA from 1 species
GAUGAACGCUGGCGGCGUGCCUAAUACAUGCAAGUCGAGCGAACGGACGAGAAGCUUGCUUCUCUGAUGUUAGCGGCGGACGGGUGAGUAACACGUGGAUAACCUACCUAUAAGACUGGGAUAACUUCGGGAAACCGGAGCUAAUACCGGAUAAUAUUUUGAACCGCAUGGUUCAAAAGUGAAAGACGGUCUUGCUGUCACUUAUAGAUGGAUCCGCGCUGCAUUAGCUAGUUGGUAAGGUAACGGCUUACCAAGGCAACGAUGCAUAGCCGACCUGAGAGGGUGAUCGGCCACACUGGAACUGAGACACGGUCCAGACUCCUACGGGAGGCAGCAGUAGGGAAUCUUCCGCAAUGGGCGAAAGCCUGACGGAGCAACGCCGCGUGAGUGAUGAAGGUCUUCGGAUCGCAAAACUCUGUUAUUAGGGAAGAACAUAUGUGUAAGUAACUGUGCACAUCUUGACGGUACCUAAUCAGAAAGCCACGGCUAACUACGUGCCAGCAGCCGCGGUAAUACGUAGGUGGCAAGCGUUAUCCGGAAUUAUUGGGCGUAAAGCGCGCGUAGGCGGUUUUUUAAGUCUGAUGUGAAAGCCCACGGGCUCAACCCGGGGAGGGUCAUUGGAAACUGGAAAACUUGAGUGCAGAAGAGGAAAGUGGAAUUCCAUGUGUAGCGGUGAAAUGCGCAGAGAUAUGGAGGAACACCAGUGGCGAAGGCGACUUUCUGGUCUGUAACUGACGCUGAUGUGCGAAAGCGUGGGGAUCAAACAGGAUUAGAUACCCUGGUAGUCCACGCCGUAAACGAUGAGUGCUAAGUGUUAGGGGGUUUCCGCCCCUUAGUGCUGCAGCUAACGCAUUAAGCACUCCGCCUGGGGAGUACGACCGCAAGGUUGAAACUCAAAGGAAUUGACGGGGACCCGCACAAGCGGUGGAGCAUGUGGUUUAAUUCGAAGCAACGCGAAGAACCUUACCAAAUCUUGACAUCCUUUGACAACUCUAGAGAUAGAGCUUUCCCCUUCGGGGGACAAAGUGACAGGUGGUGCAUGGUUGUCGUCAGCUCGUGUCGUGAGAUGUUGGGUUAAGUCCCGCAACGAGCGCAACCCUUAAGCUUAGUUGCCAUCAUUAAGUUGGGCACUCUAAGUUGACUGCCGGUGACAAACCGGAGGAAGGUGGGGAUGACGUCAAAUCAUCAUGCCCCUUAUGAUUUGGGCUACACACGUGCUACAAUGGACAAUACAAAGGGCAGCGAAACCGCGAGGUCAAGCAAAUCCCAUAAAGUUGUUCUCAGUUCGGAUUGUAGUCUGCAACUCGACUACAUGAAGCUGGAAUCGCUAGUAAUCGUAGAUCAGCAUGCUACGGUGAAUACGUUCCCGGGUCU